UAAGCAAUUUGUCCUACUUUAGAUUUUUAAAAAUUCUUUACCAAAGAAAUUAAUCUUCUGGUGAUUUUUCUAGGGUUCCAAGGAUUGAAAAAAUUAUGGGUUCUUGGAGGAUUGGAGUGAGUGAAUCUUCCCCUCCGCCUCUUCGCCUCAUCUGGCAAAACAUCGUCCCAUUUAGCUCUGUUGCUCGCAAUUAACAGAAAAAUAUUCGAAACCUAAAACCCUCAAACCAGCAAAGCGAAUUCCUACACUUAAAAUUCGAACCCAACAAAUCGAUUUCAAGUGCUAAGCGGCUAGGUUCUAGGUCUUCUAAUUCCGGCGAGCUGUUUUCGUACGAAUGCCGGCAAACCGUACAGUGUCGUCGUCUUGCCUUCGUCUUUCAGUUUCGAAAUUCCAAUUUAAGCGGUCGAUGAAAGCAGAGUGGGUAAGAUCAGUUGCUCUGCAGCCUCACCCUCCAAACGCUACCCCAUCACUUUGCUUCCCGGCGAUGGCAUUGGCCUCAACCUCGCCCCCUCCAUCGAUGGUUUCUUUUAAUUCUGCUUCCGUUUUCUGAAUUUUAUUUCAGGUGCCUGAGAAACGGUGGGAAAAUUAAAAGGAAAAGUCUUUUAAUUUUCCCAUAUUUUCUUUGGGUUAAUGUUUAACAAUUUGAGCUGCUCUGUGUGUUGUAUAAUCGAGAAAUUUUGUUGGGAAAUUAGUAAUUAUAUAACAUUUGGAUAUUUGUAUAA